AUUGAACGCUGGCGGCAUGCUUUACACAUGCAAGUCGAACGGCAGCAUGGGCUUCGGCCUGAUGGCGAGUGGCGAACGGGUGAGUAAUGCAUCGGAACGUGCCGUGUAAUGGGGGAUAACAUAGCGAAAGUUGUGCUAAUACCGCAUACGUCCUACGGGAGAGAGCAGGGGAUCUUCGGACCUUGCGUUAUACGAGCGGCCGAUGUCCGAUUAGCUAGUUGGUGUGGUAAAGGCUCACCAAGGCGACGAUCGGUAGCGGGUCUGAGAGGACGAUCCGCCACACUGGAACUGAGACACGGUCCAGACUCCUACGGGAGGCAGCAGUGGGGAACUUUGGACAAUGGGCGAAAGCCUGAUCCAGCAAUGCCGCGUGAGUGAAGAAGGCCCUUGGGUUGUAAAGCUCUUUCGUUUGGGAAGAAGGAAGUGUGGCUAAUAUCCACGCUGACAGACGGUACCAAAAUAAGAAGCACCGGCUAACUACGUGCCAGCCGCCGCAGUAA
rnacentral:rRNA from 1 species